GGCAUCUUUGGAAUUAGAAGAAUUGAGGUAGAGGUGAUGAACCGAGGCAACUCCGCCCCACAGAAAAAAUUGAGUACCGCAUUGUAGACAUCUUGGGCGAUCACUUCCCAAGCAAAUGUAAAAAAUUUACCUAUGAACCCAUCUGGGCCAGCAGCACUUUCUCCAUCCAUUAACUUCACGAUUCCAUACACCUCGUCGAGCGAAG
rnacentral:lncRNA from 1 species